GGUUAUAUUUACAUAUAUUUUAAUGAAUUUUUAAAAAAUUUUAUAUAAAAGUAUUCACUUCCUCAUUUGGUUCAACUGAAAACCUGGUCCGGUUUAGUACCCAGGUCAUUGGUUCAAUGGAUCAACUCGCCAGGCCGAGUUAGGUUUAAUAACAUUGCUAGAAGUGAAAUAUAUAGUAAUCUGUACUUAUAUAUAUAUGCAUAUAAACAUACAAGUACA
rnacentral:misc_RNA from 1 species